ACCUGGGUGGCUUAGUCGGUUAAGCAUCUGACUUCCACUCAGGUUAUGAUCCCAGGUC
rnacentral:tRNA from 1 species